ACCUGGCUAGCUCAGCUGGUAGAGCAUGAAACUCCUGAUCUCAGGGUUGUGAGUUCAAGCCCCACACUGCGUG
rnacentral:tRNA from 1 species